rnacentral:rRNA from 1 species
AGGAAAAGAAACCAACAGGGAUUGCCCUAGUAACGGCGAGUGAAGCGGCAACAGCUCAAAUUUGAAAUCUGGCGCAAGCCCGAGUUGUAAUUUGUAGAGGAUGCUUCUAGGUAGCGACCGGUCUAAGUUCCUUGGAACAGGACGUCAUAGAGGGUGAGAAUCCCGUAUGUGACCGGCCCGCACCUUCUACGUAGCUCCUUCGACGAGUCGAGUUGUUUGGGAAUGCAGCUCUAAAUGGGAGGUAAAUUUCUUCUAAAGCUAAAUACCGGCCAGAGACCGAUAGCGCACAAGUAGAGUGAUCGAAAGAUGAAAAGCACUUUGGAAAGAGAGUUAAAAAGCACGUGAAAUUGUUGAAAGGGAAGCGCUCACAACCAGACUUCUGGGCGGUGUUCCGCCGGUCUUUUGACCGGUCUACUCGCCGUCCCGAGGCCAACAUCAUCUGGGACCGCUGGAUAAGACCUUAGGAAUGUAGCUCCCCUCGGGGAGUGUUAUAGCCUGUGGUGAUGCAGCGCGUCUCGGGUGAGGUCCGCGCUUCGGCAAGGAUGUUGGCGUAAUGGUUGUCAGCGGCCCGUCUUGAAACACGGACCAAGGAGUCUAACAUCUAUGCGAGUGUUCGGGUGUCAAACCCCUACGCGUAAUGAAAGUGAACGGAGGUGGGAAGCGUAAGCUGCACCAUCGACCGAUCCUGAUGUCCUCGGAUGGAUUUGAGUAAGAGCAUAGCUGUUGGGACCCGAAAGAUGGUGAACUAUGCCUGAAUAGGGUGAAGCCAGAGGAAACUCUGGUGGAGGCUCGCAGCGGUUCUGACGUGCAAAUCGAUCGUCAAAUUUGGGUAUAGGGGCGAAAGACUAAUC